GAUGAACGCUGGCGGCGUGCCUAAUACAUGCAAGUCGAGCGAACAGAUGAGAAGCUUGCUUCUCUGAUGUUAGCGGCGGACGGGUGAGUAACACGUGGGUAACCUACCUAUAAGACUGGGAUAACUCCGGGAAACCGGGGCUAAUACCGGAUAAUAUUUUGAACCGCAUGGUUCAAUAGUGAAAGACGGUUUCGGCUGUCACUUAUAGAUGGACCCGCGCCGUAUUAGCUAGUUGGUAAGGUAACGGCUUACCAAGGCGACGAUACGUAGCCGACCUGGGAGGGUGAGCGGCCACACUGGAACUGAGACACGGUCCAGACUCCUACGGGAGGCAGCAAUAGGGAAUCUUCCGCUAUGGGAGAAAGUCUGACGGAGCAACGCCGCGUGAGUGAUGAAGGUCUUCGGAUCGUAAAACUCUGUUGUUAGGGAAGAACAAAUUUGUUAGUAACUGAACAAGUCUUGACGGUACCUAACCAGAAAGCCACGGCUAACUACGUGCCAGCAGCCGCAGUAA
rnacentral:rRNA from 1 species